rnacentral:rRNA from 1 species
AUUGAACGCUGGCGGCAGGCCUAACACAUGCAAGUCGAGCGGAUGAAGGGAGCUUGCUCCUGGAUUCAGCGGCGGACGGGUGAGUAAUGCCUAGGAAUCUGCCUGGUAGUGGGGGAUAACGUCCGGAAACGGGCGCUAAUACCGCAUACGUCCUGAGGGAGAAAGUGGGGGAUCUUCGGACCUCACGCUAUCAGAUGAGCCUAGGUCGGAUUAGCUAGUUGGUGGGGUAAAGGCCUACCAAGGCGACGAUCCGUAACUGGUCUGAGAGGAUGAUCAGUCACACUUGGAAUGGGAAAAGGGGCCAAAUCCCAAGGGGGGGAAGGAGGGGGAAAAUUUGGAAAAGGGGGAAAAGCCGAACCAAGCCAGGCGGGGGGGGGAAAAAAGGUUUUCGGAUUGUAAAACCCUUUAAGUUGGGAGGAAGGGCAGUAAGUUAAAACCUUGCUGUUUGGACGUUACCAACAAAAAAAACACCGGCAAACUUCGU